UGGUUGAUGGGGAGCUGUCCUACGGACUAGACGCCUCUGAGCCAAUCCGAAUGGCCGAUCCGAAGACGAUUUCAAAAUCACAUGGUUAGGAUCUGCUCGAUUAUUGGUUGCCUUCGGUAAGGCACGCCCUCUUCUGCUCCCGCCUUCGGCUUUAACUCUCGGCCGCUCAGGAGCUCGCUCCUUUCGAUUCGGCGCUGGUUUUUGGGUCCCAGCGUGUCCGGGCGUAGAGACGGAGCGGUUCUGCGCACGCGCCCCCCCACGACCCCGCCUCCCCUCCCCCUCUCGUAAAAGCUGCCAAUAAAAAAGGUUCCCAAAGCCUCAGCCUCGUGUCGCGACUCGCCCGAGUCUGAUUGACGUCGGCCGCACUUGCCUUUGAACCCGUGGAACGCCUGAUCUGUGGUAUCCCGGGCCAAGCAGCAGUGCAAGAGCAGACCCAGCUUGUUUAUAACUGGUUCCGCUUAGCCCAAAUUGGAGCGGUUCUUUUAAGGACAAGCGACAUUCGGCGCGACCCUACUUUGGGGGGAGAGUUACGGGGUGGGGGGGCGCAGAAUAGAACUGAGCACGUGGUUAUUGGUAGGAGAUCGCCCCCAAGUGCAACCUACGGGAGUAUUUUGCCAAUCAGUGCUCACUAGCUGGUAUCGCUAAGUGCUUCUGUAUAAAGGCAGUGAAAUACAUCCUCCUCCACGACCUUAAGUUUUGCAAAGAAAGGCACACGUGUGUAAUUGCGGGUAAAACAUUUUUAACAACCUGGGGUUUUUUUGACCAUACUAGCCACCGGGUGGGAUCAGGAAAGCAUUCAAUGGCGGUGGCACCCGAGUUUUGAAGCAAACGGUUUUCUAAGGAGUGGAGGGAGUAAGUUAAGUUACCCGACUGAGAAAAAGGCAAAGAGACUGGAGAUGUGAGAGGAUCGAGAAGAAAGCCGUUUUGGCUGUAGCUUAGAAUGCAUGUUAAUGUGGUAGAACUGGAAAUUCAGGCUAUGAAAAACUUUUGGUUAAAGUGUUUACAAUGUAGCUUUUUUAAAAGUGGAACAGCUCCUGCCUUCAAGAAGCCCCCUUUCUAAAGGGGGAGAUGUGCAGCAUGUGAUUUUGUGGGGAAAAGAAUAGUCUUUGCUUCCUUUUUAUUCCCAGGGCCUGACACAGAGAAUCUUAAAAUCGUUUGUUGAAUUGAAAUUGGGGUGGGAGGUGUCUUGGGAAACUUGAGGAAAGAGCAACCUAUUGGAAUACUCUGUAGUUUAGGACAAACCUGUUAUGUUAAGGGUGGGGAGGGAAUCCUGUGAAAGCCUUGGGGAGAAACAGGUUAGGCAAAAAUAGCUCAAAUUUUUGGCUGGGGGAGAAAGAAUGGGCAAUUCAAAUGAUAAUUCAAAUAGUUACAUUUUUAACUUUGAGACUUUGCUUCUCAUGAGGGAAUUAGGAAUGUUAGAGAAGACAUUUUGGUAGUUGGCAAAAAUGUUAAAGAUUUGAGGGGAGGCACUCAAUGUAGGUUGAAGGGCCCUUGGGUUUUAACUGGGACUAGAGCUUCCACCGUGGAAAUAUCCCUCAAACAUCUGAUCUUGUCCCCCUUCCUUUUUUAAAAAUUCCUAGCUCUGGCUUAGAUUCAGACUCUUCAGUUUGGUCUUCAAAGCUCUUAGUAAUGCAGUAUUUCUUCUGUAUUUUAUACCACUUUUAUGAAUUUUACUUUACCCCACACCUCCCCAAAAUUAACUUGCUGUGGGCAAUAGCAGUCACCCACUCCUGGGAUGUGUUACCUGCCUACCUGCUACUUUUGGCAUCAUUUCAAAGUUUAGCUGAUUUUACCCCCUCCGUUUUUAGUUCUUUACCCUUAUAUAACAUUCCAGAAACUUGCUUAGCUUGGUUGAAUUUAAGGAAGAUUAGGGUUAUAGCUGGGAGUAGUAGGAGGUCAGGAAGUAGAGAUGAGGGUCUAGAAAAUGCCAGGUGUAUAUUAACACCAGUAAAAAUGCUUGGAAAUUGGAGACUAACAGUUCCUACUCUAAAGCUUUCUUUUUUUCCUUUUUUUUUUUUUUUGGUGAGGCAGUCAGGAUUAAGUGAUUUGCCUGGGGUCACACAGCUAGUGAGUGUCAAGUGGCCCUCAAUCUUAGUUUCAGAUGGAAACAAUCUAUUGAUCCUUUCUGUAUCCUCAGUGCCAGGCAUGUAGUAGGUGCUUAAAUGUUUCAGAGCAAAUGACAUGGAGGGAAGUUGGGGAAACUUAAGAGGGAGGGGAGGAAAGAGGCUUGUGCCUCCUGCAAAGAGGCGUAGGUUUUUAACCAUUCAGUCUUCUGUCCUAUUGUCAUGACCACUGAAUGUUGGCCGUAGGUACUUGUGCUCUACACUCAAUUGACAUUGAUUCCCAUGGGUUUAAUUAACGACUGAUUUCCAGGUGCAGACUGGGUCUCAAUUCCUGAGCUCUAGACCCAAGUCAAGUGGGAAUAGCUUACAGGACAUUUUGAAUGAUUUGAACCCCCACUGGGGUAGCCCAAAUUCAUCAUGUCCAAAACAGUUCACUUAUCCCUCCUCCACCCACCCCCCCUUUUUAAAUUUCCCUGUUAUUUCCAAGACACAAGUUCAUCCCAAUCUCAGGUCUGUUUUUGACUCCUGGCACACUUAAACAGUGGCUAAAGCAACAUUUUUAUUUCUGUGACAUCUCAAAUCUGUCCCCUUCUGGCUGUCAUCACUAUCACGUGAACUGUUGCAACACUAGCCUCAUUUUACUUUUUCCUGCCUCCUGCCUGAGGUCUGUGUUGUACUUAGAUGCCAGAGUGAGCUUCUUAAAGUGUAAGAAUGACCAUGUCACUCCAUUGCUAAUAAAGUGGCACUGAAGUCA